rnacentral:tRNA from 1 species
GGGGGUGUCGCAUAGCGGCAAUUGCAAGGGACUGUAACUCCCUCUCCUUCGGGAUUCGCUGGUUCGAGUCCAGCCGCCCCCA